AAUCCUGAGCUUCUGUUAAAUAAAAUACAAUAUACAACAUUCAGAGAAAGAGAAUUACAGAAUUUGAGAACUGAAAGAUAUUUUGGCAACCAUUUAAUCCAAAUUACAGUAAAUACAAAAGGAAUCCCCAUGAUAGCCUGCCUGGGAAAGAGCUUGUCACUUUGGAUUAACAAUUGCACAAGUCUCCAUGCUGAGCCAAGCACUGAAGAAAUAUUAAAUGGCUCAAGGACUCCUGAAGCUCAGCUUUCCUAAAAGAAGGGACAUUCUCCAAACUUAAGGAUAAGCGAUGGAUAAUGAGAGGGAGAGACACACACAGGCUUCAUAUUAAGAAAAAAUUUCCUGGAUAUGGCAAUUGUCCUAAGAGGAGGUGCAAAAGGAGGCAUCAGACCAUAGUGAAUGCAUAUCUCCAUCACACUGAAAACACACUUACAGCAGACAACUUUUCUUGGGGUCAUUCUUGCAAAGUGGAGGCUGGUGGAGAAUCUGCUGACUGGACCCGAGACAUGAUGAGUGAAAGGCUGACUCCUUUCAUAUUGUAUUUUCUGAAGAGACUAGCCUCAGGAGAGAUUUCCCCAAGUCCUCAGCUUUGCUGAGGCCUAAGGACUAACUCCCUGCCCAUGUUGAGCCAGGGGCUGGUAGUAAAUUACUUAGUGCUUAGGCUAGAUAUCUUACCCUAUUCUCUCUCUGAUUUUCUUACUUCACUCUUUCUAUACUUUCUAUACAAAUAAAUUAUAAAUAAAUCCCUUUUGAAAUACA
ensembl:lncRNA